GGCGAACGGGUGAGUAAUAUAUCGGAACGUGCCCAGNUAAUGGGGAAUAACUAACUGAAAGGUUAGCUAAUACCGCGUACGACCUACGGGUGAAAGCAGGGGAUCUUAGGACCUUGCGUUAUUGGAGCGGCCGAUAUCUGAUUAGCUUGUUGGUGGGGUAAAAGCCUACCAAGGCAACGAUCAGUAGCUGGUCUGAGAGGACGAUCAGCCACACUGGAACUGAGACACGGUCCAGACUCCUACGGGAGGCAGCAGUGGGGAAUUUUGGACAAUGGGGGAAACCCUGAUCCAGCCAUCCCGCGUGAGUGAAGAAGGCCUUCGGGUUGUAAAGCUCUUUCGAAAGUGAAGAAAACUUAUUUCGUAAUAUGUUAUAAGUAUGACGGUAACUUUAGAAGAAGCACCGGCUAACUACGUGCCAGCAGCCGCGGUAAUACGUAGGGUGCGAGCGUUAAUCGGAAUUACGGGGCGUAAAGCGUGC
rnacentral:rRNA from 1 species